UCUCUCUUUUCCCAAUUUUUUCAAUUUUCACACCCAAUACAUUAUCCCUUCUCUUCUCUUUAUUACGCCUUCAGAAAUCUCUCCCAUCCUUAAUCCAUCUCAAAUUAGGUAUUUCCAAAAUUUCAAUCAAACCGUAAAUGUUCGGCGGUUGGUGAUCUUCUAUUCCAUUCACGAUGCAAAUAAUUUAAUGCUGGUUUAUCAUCUCCCAAAAUCUAAUCACUGCAUUAUCAAUGAUAGUUUGAAAGUUUGUUCUUUUAACUUUUUGUAUUUCUUCCUAUAAAUAUGACCUAUUUCAUCUCCAAUUCAUCAUCCCCUUUGAACCCUUACGAUUUUGCGUUAUUUUCCUAUGGCCGCCGCAAGUUGCAAUUUUGUUUCUGAAAUCACACCAGCAAAAGAGUCAAGGGAUGUUGUUGUUCAAGUUAGUCGAUUGUGGUUUGUGCCAGACAUGAAUUCGAAACAGAAGUUUUAUGUUACGGAGAAGGUUCUAAUGGAUGAGAAGGGUUUCAAGAUUCAAGCUUCUGUUCAUUGACAUUUGAGACCACUUACAAACUCCUAGGGGACCAUCUUUUUCCCAUUCUUUGGUAAACCUGAUGUGUAUUUGUUUUUUUGAUUGAAUAAUGUUCAUUAUUUUCAUUUUGUUGGUACUUAAUAUUUUGUCAGGACCGACCCUGUUGAAACCCAUCAAAUUAAUUCUAAAUGCUUUCAAUCUUCAAUCUCUUCUUUGAAAUUCGGAGAACCCUUCCAAAUCCCUCAUCAUUCUUCUUCACUCCUUCCAUAACUCUAUAAAAUAUGGCAGUGGAUGUACAUCUCAAUCCCAUGCGUUUUGCGACUUCCACAAUUACAGUAUUCUCCUUCUUCAUCUUCGUUUUACAUCCCAUCGAUCUGAUACUCAAAUGUUUCUUUCAUCUUUUCUGUUUCCUCUUAAAAAAUCUCUCAAAUGAUUCGACCAUCUUUUUCGUCUACUUUGAUUUUUCAAUCAUCAUGUUCAAUUGCUUUGUUUUUUAAUUUACUUUGAUUCUUCAUAAAAAAGGUCAUGAUUCCUUUCCUUUUGUGUUGUUGGUGUUUUUGAUGUUGAUGUAUGUUAGUGUUAUACAUGAUUUCAGGUUGUUAUUUACAUCUAACUAUUAACAUCAAAGAUUGAUAACAGAUCUUACUGAUCUUACCAUGUUUUCUUAAAGCAUGUUUCUUUAAAUCGUUUCUUUGUAACACCAUUCAAAGUAAGACUUACGGAUUCUGCAUAGCUAACAGAUCUUAUCAAGUAUUACUCAUUACUCUACUUGCAUAUGAAAAGGUUACACCCAAAAAGAGACACCUAAGAAGUAAGUGAUUCUUGGGAUUUUUUUUUCCGAUCCAAAUUCUUCAUUUUUGAAUUUUUUAGAUCCAAAUUCUAUUAUUAUGUAAAACAUUCAUUCUACAUUGGAAAUGGU